rnacentral:sRNA from 1 species
CAGGGGAUUGCAGUGGCAAAGCUAGGCUAGGUCUUGGAGGCUGGUGUAAGGCGAUGCGGGUGAAGGCAGGAGGCUGAUGGAGAGACUGGGGGGAAGAAAAGCCGAAAUGGAUUCACGGUGCCUUGGAUGAAGGACGAGAGGGGAACUGCAAGCUCCUUCAACUGGUUCUGUCCGGUGAGAAGUGAUCAAGCUUGGGCUGACAAGAGGCUCAGGGAGCCCUCACGUUCUUUCGCUUUUUUACCUGCCAAUCAAACUGCUACAAGACAACACCCUGAUCUGGCAUGGACAUCGCGGGUCCAAGCCUGUAGCCCCAAAUCGGAUAAUCUCUGCAGCUGAUAACAAGCAAAAGAGAAGCCAGGCAACAGCCAUAUUAAAGAAGAAAACAGUCAACUCUGAGUCAUUACAGUCACCUGGAGUCACGGAAAUGACCAUGAUUGCCUGAACUUUCAUGACUUCUGUGGAUAACUGUGGUUGCAGAAAAGAGAAAACCUGGACCGUGAGGGACAUUUCACUCCCUGGGCUUUGGUACAUGGUACAUGUGUGGUUGGAUGUGUGUUGCCAGAAAACAGCCUGCCAUGUCUGAGGCUAUGCUCCCAGACUAGCAGCCUGGGUUACAGGGGAAGAGCUGAAGUUGGGUUGGGGAAGUUUAAUAUACUAUACUUUUUAAAUUUUUUUACUUUUGGCUAAUAUUUAUCUAUUUAUUUAUUUUUAUUUUUUGUAGAGACAGGGUUUUGCCAUGUUGCCCUGGCUGGUCUCAAACUACUGAGCUUGAGAAUCUGCUUGUCUUGGCCUCCCAAAGAGCUAGGAUUACAGGCAUGAGCCAUCGAGCCUGGCUCCUUUUAUUCUUUUCACGACACUACCUCUUCCUAGGAGAGG